rnacentral:rRNA from 1 species
UACGUAGGGUCCGAGCGUUUGUCCGGAGUUACUGGGCGUAAAGCGCGCGCAGGUGGUUCACUAAGCCCGGCGUGAAAGCCCCCGGCUCAACCGGGGGAGGGUCGUCGGGGACUGGUGAACUUGAGGGCGGCAGGGGCUGGUGGAAUCCCCGGUGUAGCGGUGAAAUGCGUAGAUAUCGGGAGGAACACCAGUGGCGAAGGCGACUACCUGGCCUGUUCUUGACGCUGAGGCGCGAAAAGCUAGGGGGGAGCAAAACGGGG